AUGGCGAGGGGCGCGAGGCCGGUGCGGUGGCCGCGGGUGCUGGCGCCGGCGCACCUGGCCGGGGCCAUCCGGCGGCAGAAGAGCCCGCACGAGGCGGCGCAGCUGUACGCCGACGCGCCCGGCUGGUACCCGCGCGGCUCCUACCGCCACAGCGACGCCGUCCACGCCUCGCUCCUCGCCGCCGCCUCGUCCUCCCCCGCGCUGCUCCCCUCGCUGCUCCGCCGCGUCCUGCGCCGCUCCCCCUCCGCCGACGCCCUCCUCGCCGCGUCCAUCCCGCACCUCCCUCCCACGGACGCCGCCUCCAUAUUCCGCUCCUCGUUCCCCGCCUCCCCCGCCCCGUCCUGGUCCCUCUCCUUCUCCGCGCUCCUCCGCAGUCUCGUCUCCCGCGGCCUCCUCCCCGAGGCUGCCAGGCUCCUCGACGAAUUCCAGGGGCGCCCUGAGGUGUCCAUAGAGUCCGAAGACCUCACUCUGCUCAUCGAGGAGAUGUGUCGCCUGCAGCGUCCUGACCUCGCGCUCCAGGUGCUCGAGGAAAUGUCUAAUCAGUGUCUUGAGCCAGACAGAGGCGCCUACCGCGCGAUUGUUCCUGCGCUCUGCAAUGCUGGCAUGCUCGACGAGGCUACACACGUCGUCUACUCCAUGUUGUGGCGUGUGUCGCAGCGGGGCUGCGACGGGGAUGUUGUGGUGUUCCGGGCGUUGCUGGUCGCGCUCUGUGCUGCUGGCCGGGGUGAACUGGCAGAGCAAGUGCUGGAUAAGAUUAUCAGGAAGGGGCUGAGGACGCCAGGCAGUAGGCGCUCCCUUCGCGUGCCAAUGCUUGCUGUGCUUACCACCGAGGAUGCCCGGGAAGCCAUUGACCGUGCUUUGGUUGUCCGGGGUGGGAGGACUGUUGCGAGCUUUGAGUCCAUUAUUCUUGAUCUCUACGACGAGGGACGGUUGAAUGAGGCAGCCAAUUUGUUUCAGGACAUGGGCAAAAAGGGGUUCCGGCCGACAAUAUGCAUGUUUGAGGCCAAAAUCAUUGCCUUAUGCAGGGAACAGAGGGUAGAUGAUGCGAUCAAGGUGUUGGAGGAGGAGUUGGCCAAGAAUGGUAUCGUUCCCACUGUGAGAACAUAUAACUUGUUAAUGAAGGGUCUUUGCGAUGCUAUGCAAGCAAUGAAGGCCCUCGGAUACCUUAAAAAGAUGGAUACGCAGCUUGGUUGUGUUGCUCGAAAGGAUACAUUCUCUAUCUUGAUCAGUGGCUUGUGUUCAGAAGGAAAGUUUGUCGAGGCGGCAAGGGUUAUGGAGAGGAUGGUGAAGAACCAGCAUCGUCCUGACAAAAACGAAUUCAGCAUCGUCAUUGAAGGUUUAUGUUCUGUUGGCAGAACAUACGAUGCAUUGGUAUGGCUAGAGGAGAUGGUUGACCAUGGAGAAACACCUGAUGUCCGUGUUUGGUCUUGUUUGGUUUCAUCAUCUUUAGGAGUAGGAGAAAGCGUUAUGGUUGCAGCUAUGUGA
rnacentral:rRNA from 1 species